CUGAGACCUGAUGCCGAGCCGAUUGUGGUGAAGUGGAUGAUCCUAUGCUGUCGAGAAAAGCCUCUAGCGAGUUUCAUGGCGGCCCGUACCCUAAACCGACUCAGGUGGUCAGGUAGAGAAUACCGAGGCGUUCGGGUGAACUAUGGUUAAGGAACUCGGCAAAAUGCCCCCGUAACUUCGGGAGAAGGGGGGCCAUGUCCGGUGAUGAGCUUCGCGCUCUGAGCUGGGGGUGGCCGCAGAGACCAGCGAGAAGCGACUGUUUACUAAAAACACAGGUCCGUGCGAAGCCGUAAGGCGAUGUAUACGGACUGACGCCUGCCCGGUGCUGGAACGUUAAGGGGACCGGUUAGUCACUCUUCGGGGUGGCGAAGCUGAGAACUUAAGCGCCAGUAAACGGCGGUGGUAACUAUAACCAUCCUAAGGUAGCGAAAUUCCUUGUCGGGUAAGUUCCGACCUGCACGAAUGGCGUAACGACUUCUCGACUGUCUCAACCAUAGGCCCGGUGAAAUUGCACUACGAGUAAAGAUGCUCGUUUCGCGCAGCAGGACGGAAAGACCCCGGGACCUUUACUACAGUUUGAUAUUGGUGUUCGGUUCGGCUUGUGUAGGAUAGCUGGGAGACUGUGAAAGCCAUACGCCAGUAUGGUGGGAGUCGUCGUUGAAAUACCAGUCUGGUCGUGCUGGAUGUCUAACCUGGGUCCGUGAUCCGGAUCAGGGACAGUGUCUGAUGGGUAGUUUAACUGGGGCGGUUGCCUCCUAAAGAGUAACGGAGGCGCCCAAAGGUUCCCUCAGCCUGGUUGGCAAUCAGGUGUUGAGUGUAAGUGCACAAGGGAGCUUGACUGUGAGACCGACGGGUCGAGCAGGGACGAAAGUCGGGACUAGUGAUCCGGCGGUGGCUUGUGGAAGCGCCGUCGCUCAACGGAUAAAAGGUACCCCGGGGAUAACAGGCUGAUCUUCCCCAAGAGUCCAUAUCGACGGGAUGGUUUGGCACCUCGAUGUCGGCUCGUCGCAUCCUGGGGCUGGAGUCGGUCCCAAGGGUUGGGCUGUUCGCCCAUUAAAGCGGUACGCGAGCUGGGUUUAGAACGUCGUGAGACAGUUCGGUCCCUAUCCGCUGUGCGCGUAGGAGUCUUGAGAAGGGCUGUCCCUAGUACGAGAGGACCGGGACGGACGAACCUCUGGUGUGCCAGUUGUCCUGCCAAGGGCAUGGCUGGUUGGCUACGUUCGGGAGGGAUAACCGCUGAAAGCAUCUAAGCGGGAAGCCUGCUUCGAGAUGAGGACUCCCACCUCCUAGAGAGGGUAAGGCUCCCAGUAGACGACUGGGUUGAUAGGCCGGAUAUGGAAGCACGGUAACGUGUGGAGUUGACCGGUACUAAUAGGCCGAGGGCUUGUCCUCAGUUG
rnacentral:rRNA from 1 species